CAACGCCUCCAUAAUCAUCAGAAAUACAAAGAUAUCUGACAGUGGAGUCUACAGCUGUCAUUUUCCAAAUCUUCAAACACCUCAAACAUUCUACAUUGAGCUUGUUGUAGAUCAUACCUUAAAAGAGCAGAA